CCCAGAUGGCCUGAAGUAACUGAAGAAUCACAAAAGAAGUGAAUAUGUCCUGCCCCACCUUAACUGAUGACAUUCCACCACAAAAGAAGUGUAAAUGGCUGAUCCUUGCCUUAAGUGAUGACAUUACCGUGCGAAAGUCCUUUUCCUGGCUCAUCCUGGCUCAAAAAGCACCCCCACUGAGCACCUUGCAACCCCCACUCCUGCCCGCCAGAGAAAAAACCCCCUUUGACUGUAAUUUUCCUUUACCUACCCAAAUCCUAUAAAACAGCCCCACCCUUAUCUCUCUUUGCUGACUCUCUUUUCAGACUCAGCCAGCCUGCACCCAGGUGAAAUAAACAGCCAUGUUGCUCACGCAAAGCCUGUUUGGUGGUCUCUUCAAACAGACGUGCAUGAAAUUUGGUGCCCUGACUCGGAUCGGGGGACCUCCCUUGGGAGAUCAAUCCCCUGUACUUCUGUUCUUUGCUCCAUGAGAAAGAUCCACCUAUGACCUCAGGUCCUCAGACCAACCAGCCCAAGGAACAUCUCACCAAUUUUAAAUCAGUUUUUCAAGUGGUACCUGAGAUUCAGCACUUCUAAAAAGCUCCAAGGUGAUGAAGGUGCUGCUAGUUGGAGGCCAUACUUUGAGUUGCCAGAUGCUAAAAAUUCAACAGAUGGGGUAUGUAAGCAGAUAGUGUAGCAUAUUGAAAACAACUCUCAGUUUGAAUCAGAAGCCUGGGUCUGUGAUAUUAUGACACUAACUAGCUUAAUAUUUUGUGGAUUAUUGUGCAUGAAAUAUAUCCAUUUAAAUAUCAUACUUUCAAUUUAAAUUAUGGGUUUCAACUUUGCCAGGCAAAUAUAAUCAACAAUAUAUUCAAUAGUAUGCCACAGCUAAAGACACAAAUGAAAACAAUGAUCUCAGACUUUUGAUCCAGGUGCCAAGUUAGAAAAAGAAGUUAAAACAGUGUAGUUUAUUUCUGUUCAAUGUCCUGUAUAGGUGGAAACUAAUUUCAGGGUUAAUUUUUGGUUAAACAACUAGCUUGGAAAUUUAUAAUUAUUUGGGAUUGAGGACCAAACAAGGUGAGGCACGAUAAAGAAAUUAGAAGGGGAUCGCUAUGAAAAUCAAGAUGAAUAAAACGAAGGGAGUGUUUACGGCAAAGUAAAAAAAGAGGCAUCAAAUUUUAAUUCACUGCUGCAAAGUAGAGCUCUUAUAUCUAUUGCUGAUGUAAGGAGACAAUCUGGAUUAUACUGUGAGAAGGAAAGCAUAACAAACAACAAUCCUUGACAGUAUUCAGAUUAACAACCUUGUAGUUGAGGUUGUUGGUACAACCAGUUAAAUGAAGAAAAAUUAGGUGAGACAAGGAUAUAUAUUAAGUAUAAGACACAAAGUUAGAAAAAAUAUACUGUCUUUUUUCUCUUUUUAUCUGAAUAUGUAACUAUUCUAAUCUGAAGCAGAUUACAUGGUCAUAAUUGAUUUAAGACUAGAAGCAUAAAUUUUCUCUUUUGAAUUCCAUCAGAGUCUACUCUGGCAUUCCCUCCUAUGUACGCAAGGGUUUGUAGGUAAAGAUUGAGGGCGCUUAACAAACUAAGUAAAAAGAAACAUAUGUUACUGUGUAUGUAAAUUACUAUUUUUAGAAGAUAUUCUUAAUAGUUUCUUCUUAAUACUUGUUAGUAAUUAUCAAAGGGCAUUUUUCCAAUUUUCCACCUUCCCAAUUUAUUAGAAUUUUGACUUGUUUCAAUGAUUUUACACCCAGAAGUAUAGCCUAUAAGACAAAAUAAAUAUUUUAAUUUAUUCAUGGUCACUAUUUCUUAUCUGCAAAUUAUUCCUUACUACUCUUCCUUAACUUUUUAGUUAUAUUUUAUAUGUUAAUGAGAAAGCAAAAUACAAAUAUUUUCUGCAUUACAAUGCAGAUGUCUUGCUACUUUUGCUCUAUGACUAUGAAUUUUGAAAUCUCAUCAAAAUUUGAAUUUGUUUUUCUUAUUUUAUAAUCCUGAUUAAAACACAGAAUAAAUAAGCACUCCCAAGAACAUUUUUGAUGUCAUUUUCUUUACUUAUUCGGCCUGAUUGCCUUUAGGAGAGUGAUGUCAAAUAAGAAUCGAACUUUGAAAGUCUUAAAGCAAACAUAUACAAAUAACAUGAUUAUGAGAUUGCAUUUUUUAGGUUGGCAAUGCAGAUUCUGGUGGUUAAAGAUCCUGAAGUUUUUCACAGACAAUUUGUCACCUCUGAAAGAGAUAACAGGUUGCUUCAAAGCUUUGAUUGUCUGUGAUAGAGAAAUUAGAAAAUUGAGCACCACUUGAUGAAACAGCUGAACCAAUUUUAUAUUUCCAAUUCAUUUUCUCACAAAUAAUGCUUGAAAUUAAGGGCAUAAAUAAGUAAAAAAUGAGCCAAAUUGUUUUUACAUUUAUUUAAAAAAAUAGAAAUUGAGAAGUGAGUUACUUCUUUAAUGCACAGCUCUGUACUGGGAGAAAAUUUCUGUUUAAGAAACUUAAUGGAAAUGUGUAAUGAAAUUAUCUUACCACCUUUCAGUGAAAAUAUCCUUAAAUUAUUUUGCCCAGCAAAAUCCUUUGACAGGGACAGAAGAAUGACAAGUAGUUUGCUCCCCUCCCUCUCUGCCCUUUGGUAAUUUUAAUUUUUCUACUCUACAUUUCAGUGGAGCAGGUUAACAUCUUAAAAAUUAAUUUAUAGUUAAAAAUGGUUAUUUAUAUUAUUUCUUCAUCUCUGAAUUUAAAAAAUUCUGAGGUAUUAUUUGAAAUUUUGAUAAGAUCCUAAAUAAGAUUCAACUCUUGCACAAAAGAAUUAGAAAUAUUUGUUUUAUAUCUUAGCACAGUAAAAAAACUUCCUGAUUGAAUUAAGUGGCUUCCUGGGUCACACCUGAUUGCCUGAAUAUGUUAGUACAUCUCUAAGUUUAGUGAUUCUAAAUAUUUGAAGCAUAUGACAAAGAUAAAAGUCAUUAUCAGUGAGUAUCAUUGGUUUACUCUUUAAUGUCAAAGUAUAAUUAUCAAAAACGUAAAGCAUGACUGUCAUACAAAUAUACAGUGAUCACAUUUCAAAGAUUUUGUUCAACACAUAAAGGAGGAAACCAGUGAGAUGAAAAAUCUGAUCCAAACGAGAAUUAGAAAAACAAAGAUUAUAUAGUACAGACUUUACAUAAGUUCAACAAGAUAGUUAGUGUCCUACAGGGCAAUAAAACCAUAACUUUUGUGAUGGUAUUUAGCAGGAGAAAAAAUUCAGACAAGUUCUGCAAAUUAGUAUGUAACUUUGAAGUGUCCGAGGUCUUAACUUUUUAGUAAAUUUCAAAGUCACAUGAAAGUACAUUCCUUUGGAAAAUUAAGUAUUCUUUGGGUGAUCCUGUUAAACAGCUUUUCAGUAUGAUACUGAAAUGAAAUGCUGAAAUAUCUUAUAAUAACAUUUCUAAGUUUUAGAUAAUUUCUUAAUACUAAUUUCUAAACCAAACUUUAAAAUGUGAUUAAAUUAAAAAUCUUAUGUGUAUAGAUUUGUGUGUGUAUUUAUUUAUGUGGGAGUAUAAAAAAUACCUGAUUUUUGAUAUUUGAAUUUGAGAGUAACAGUGUUUGUGGAUAAAUUAAUCAUAGAAAAUUAGAGCCUUGCUUGAAAGAAAAUGACAUGAUUACACAUCCUGUGGAAAAAAACAUUCCAACAUAAACUAAAAAUUUAAAAGCAAAAAUAUAAAAGUUGAUUGAGAUAUUUAUUUAAAUAUCAUUGGACUUAAAUCAUGUGAAUGGGGCAGACCCUAAUAUUCUUUCCCAUCAGCCACUCCCUCUUUUUCCCUGUCAAGUCUGUAAUUUGGUUGAAGAAUUCAAAGAUACUGUGGUCAGGGCAUUUCAGUUUCUUCUCAGGCCCAGGAAAAUAAUGAAGAAUUGGUCAGAAUCUUAAAUGGUAUUCCCAUUUCUUUUUGCUAAUGAUUGCUGUAGGAGUGGCCAGGAAGAUGUGUGAAAUGAAUUGUUUGAAAAGUUCCUCCCCCAAAUGAAAGAAAUGCUAAAGCAAAAAUAACAUUUUUGUCUUCCACAUUACUUUGUGAUCUGUGAUACUUGAAUAGCAAUCCUUUGGCCAUAAGGCAGAAGAGCAUCAGGAUAAAAACCAGCAUGCUCAGGAUGGCAGAACAGAAAGUUGUAAGAAUCUGAGUUUUCAUGAAAUAAUUGUGCUAACCUUCCAACUUUGUUUUAUGAAAAUAAUAUUUCUUGUUUACGUCAAUUUAGUGUUCUGUUAUUUGCAAAUAUUAGUAUUCAAAUUGAUGUUAAUAUUUUUAAACAGUAUAUGAGUAUAAAUAAUAACAUGAGAUAUUGGUAUUUAAUAAAACAAAUAUUUAGAAAAAUAAUUGUAGCAUACAAUUCUUAACUCCACUUAAUUAUUUUCCCCAAAAUAAAUGCAGUUACUUGGCCACAUCUGCUGAAUAAAUGUAAUGCAGAUGGAAGUUACUAUUUGGAGUUAUCAUCAUGUAAUCUGGAUAAAUCUUAUCAAUAAAUCUCAUUUAUUAUUUAAUGAAAUGUUGGCACAUUAUUCUUUUUGCAUGAACCAGAUCAUUGUUCAAUGUUUUACUUACUUUUGUUGCAUUUUUUUCCAUGUAAGCAGUUGAGAAACUUGAGACCUUGGCCUGAGCUUAAUUCUUUAUUUCUCUUUGUUAAGUGGAGACUUGACCUUAACCUCUGUUUCUAAAUACAGCAUUGUUUUUUCUUUCCAUGGCUACUGGCCAUGAUUUUAUUUACUGGAAAAAAUAGAACCCUAGGAAAAAAGGGAAGGACAAAAUCGAGACUGAGCAAGCUGUAGAGCAUUGAUUCUAAGUGCCAGGGAUGGCUUAUAAUCAGUACAGUUGUUGUGGUUUCUGGAUGCUUAUUUAAUGUUUUCUUAUCAAAAGAAUAAUUCUCUCAUGUGUAGUUUCUGAAAUGUGACAGCACUCCAGCACUUUGUUCUAAAGCAAGGAUAGUCUUCUCUCCCCACAGAAUGGUUUAUUAUUGUCAUCAUCAUCAUCAUCACCAUUACCAUCUCAAUUAUUUAAAAUAUUUUCUACUUUACUAAAAUUUAUAUGAAGUGCUGAAUAUAUAAUUUCCUCUUUAAGUACCCAUUUUAUGAUUUUGAUUUCUAAAGCAAUUUCUCCUGACCUUUUAGUUAUAUUUUCUUCUACAAAGAGGCAAAGUUUAAUUUUUUCUCUCAUGUGAAAUACACUCCAAUCUAUAUUUAGUAGAAGGUAGCUGUGGAAACAUUAGCUAUGAAUGUUUUGAUUCUUGUAAAUUAUAAAAUAAAAGUAUAAUAACGUAGGCUUAUUCUUUAAGUUCCACUGGGGAGAGAUUUUUGGUUUAAUAUUUUAGAGGUAUUUAAUUUCUAAUAGAGGAAAAUACUUGAAGAGAGGGGAGUUGUAAUACAUUUAUCUGCAUGUAUCUUCUUGUUAGCUGUGAUGAAAUAUUACAACAGGACCAAUAUAAUUAUUUAAAGGUAUGAUCAUAAAUCACUCAUAACAGAGCAGCAUCCAGCAGGCUAAACAUCAAGUGAGGGAUUAUUCGUAUUUGCUAGUGAUUCAUUUUAACAAGAAGGUAAACUGGUAGCUAUUCCAGUGAGAAGUGGGAUUAACUUGCUUACUUAUAGAAGGGUCCAGUAUUCUCUUAGGAGGAAGCCUGCAGAAAUACUGGUCUAUCAUAAAAAUUUCAUGAGGGCAACAUAAACGUAUUUCAUGACCGUAGACUUUUUUUUUUUGCCAGUUUGACAUCCAAUAAUUAAAUCAUUUGUGUCCCUUUUAGAUCUCCACAGUAAAACUGAGCUUAUAGAUAUUCCUAACAAUUUCAAUUGUCCUAAUUGAUAAAGAGUUUGCAUGAAUAAUACAAUUAUGCAAAAAUAACAUUUUUGUUUAUAAAAAUAUGUCACCCUUCACUCAAUAAUUCUUUAAGCAUACACUGUCAUUAGCCCACAAAUUGCAGGGCUGGACUAUAUUUUUUUUAAUAUUGUGGUAGAGAAGUUUGAAAAGAAUACAGAAAACUCAGUGAAUGAAUAGAAGCAAAGUUUCUAAAUAAGGACAGGCACUAACAUCUGUACCUCUUUAUACGUAUCAGGUUGAGAGGUAUUUUUUACAAAAAGAGGCUGAGGUAUAGAAUAAUGGGACUAGACCAUCAACUCUGAAAAUUUCUACUCCACCAGAUAGAUUUACAACAUGAUCCUACCAGGAAGUGUGAGGUCCUAGAAAGAAGGCUUCUUACUUCCUUCAACAUCAGAGUAUUUUCCUGUUGCUAGAGUUGUACUGUAUGCCAAAAUGGUAGGCCAAAGAAAUAUUGUUCCUUAUGGGUGAUUUACAUUUGGGAAAAUUAAUGCCUUUAUUGUUUAAAAAUUGAUCAUGAGAUACUUAUCUACAGAAAACAUUCCACUGUAUCUGAUGGGGCUUAUGCCAUCAUUCAACUUGAUGAGUUCAAGAAACAUUUGUAAAAUCAUUAUUACCAAAUUAAAAUACAAGUAAAAGAGAAGCCAUUGGACAAAUCCUUAAUGUCUCACGGUCUCAUGAAAUUUUUUUCUUUAAUUCCUGUAUAUUAUUUUGAAUAUGAAAUUUCUAUUUUUCCUCUUUAUCCAGAGUAGGAUUUAAUGGCAUCAAGAUUACAGCAAGAGUGUCGUCAAUGUCUGAGAGAAAAGGCACAGGACAAUUCAUGUAAUCUACUUUUUACCUCCUCACUAUGCCAGCAGCACACUUGGAGAGGAAUGUUAUAAUGGAAGAAGCUGCCCAGUCACUGAUUAAAAUGUAAGAAACUGUGCUCCAUUGCAGACAUCUCCUGUUAUGCGUUCAUGAGCAUAUAUGUGUUCUAGUAUGUGUAACCUUUAAGACAAUGAUGGAAUUUGAACCAUACUUUAGGACUGACACAGGUAAGAGAGUCUUGUAUUAAUAAGCUUCAAAAUAUUUUAUUGUAACUUAAAUUACCUCAGCAAUGAUACUGGGGUAGUCAGAAAAAAAAUUCACCUAAUUUUGAACUGAUUUUUUUUAAACUUUAGUAGCUUUGUGUUAGACAGAUAAUGUAAUCUGAGUUUCAAUUAACUUAUUUAUGGUAUGGUAGUAAAACUACCCUCUACACAGUGCUCUUGAUAGAGUUUUUAGAUAUAAAUAGUUUCUGUGGUGGAAGGAUUUGUUUUGCCAGUUGAGUCACAUGUAAUGUUUGACAAACAUAAGAAGAUAUUUGAGAUGAAAAAAUGAUGUUAUAUAAAGGCACAGAAAGAGAAAAUACAAGUUUGAUUGAAGUAGAGGGCUUAUAAAAGGAAAAUAAGUGUUAAAAGUGAGCUUUGGGGCAGAUUGUGGAGUGCUUCAUACAGAUUGGGAUCUAUAGGAGUCUAACUGGCUACUAGACUUCUUGAGACAUAAAAUGAUUGAUUUAACUGGAAGCAAUAUGCAUGUUAGAAGGGAGAAAAAACUUCUAACGGAGGUAGCAGUUCAAUUAGGAAGCUAUUAUUGUGGUAAAUGCAGCACUGGAUUGCAAGUGUUAGCUCUUAGUGUAUUUUUGACAAUGAUUGGUCUCUCAAGACUUUAGUUUCUUCGACUAUUAAGUAAAAGCAUUUACAUUAGAUGAAUUCUAUAAUUUGGUAUGACUUCUAAAUAUGACUCCUCCAUAAUAUGGACUUGAAUUUGAGUAGUGACAAUCCAAAGACAAUGGGAGAUAAAAAUGAAAAGCAAAUACUUUUGUUAUAGCAAGCAAACAACAGCAAAAAAACACAUGGAAACAAAAACUGUAAAACUUGGUUACUUACUGGGUAUAUGUUUUUGUCAUUUCACAAGAUAUUUUAAAGCAAAUACUUAGCUCAUAAAUUAUUGUUAAUUACUAAAUAUAUUUCUGAUAUUUUCAGUUUUUCCUUUUUCCUCUGCUUUCUUUUUCUUCUUUUUAAUAUCAUGUUUCCUCAAAAUUUCUUUCUGAACUAUAAACCAAUUUAGAAAAAAAUCUUAAAGUUUGCCUUUGGGCUGUGACUAGUAAUACAGGAGAAUUUUUCAGAAGUUUAUGAGAAGUGAAAAAGGGGUAAAAAGAACAAAAAAUAACAGACCUUACAUCCUCACCAAGUACUCCUGGGAUUUCAUGCAAUAUAAAAUAAUGUUAUAAGGGAAAAGCACGGAAGCAUUUAUAAAAGUUACGAAAUAGUAUUUUUGAGGAAGGAUGAUAAAAAUUUUACAAUAGUUCUUUUAUUUCAUGUGAAUUCUUUCUCAUUCAGAAUUUUGAUAACCUAAAGAUGAUUGUAUAUUUUGGCUUAAUCUCUGUAAAUGUAAACUCAGCCAAGUAAAAUAUAUAUCCUUUCACAUAAGCGUAGCCUCCCUUAAAUUUAGAAUAUUUAUCGUAAAGAAAUAUCAGAAGUAAAUAGAAUUUCUUUUCUAGAAUAAAGAAUACAGAGAUGGAGUGAAGUAAGUACAAAAUGCAUGAGUGAAUGAAGGAUGGACACCAUUUUUUUAAAAAAUGUAUAAGAGUGAUAUCUUUCACCCAUCCUCUGGGGAAAAAAGUGAAGAGAGGUGCUUGAGUGGUAGUAUGGUAGCUUUUUCUCUUGCCAUCACCAGCACAAGUGAAGAAAAGCCACAGUGUGUGUAACUGCUCUCUUAAGACUCUAUUCUCAGAAACUAAGAUUAGUUUACAAUGUAAUGCUUAUCAGUUUCUCUGUUUCCAACUUAAAACAAAGUAGAACUUAAAAAGACAAUUCUGGAUAAUUAACGUUAUUCUCUGGUGUAGAGCUUGAUACUUUUGCCUAAUUUUGAGAAAGUUUUGUUUGCCUUUUUCUCUUUCUCUCGGUCCUUCACUGAUUCAUUCUGGCAAUAUCAGCCUGAGGUAUAUGUUUUUCUGUCCUAUAAUUCAGGCAUUUCAUAAAAUUGUGGAACUCAGUGUUAUUCCAUUUUUUUCCUUAAUAGAUAUUUUUUCAGUUUUUGCUAUGUGCCAAGCACUGUAUAGGUGCUAGAAAUACAAAGGAAAAAGAAAGAAGGCAUCUCUUUUCUCAGCAGGAUUAACAUUCUAAAGGGUGAGACUGAAUCCAAGGAAGAAUUUUGUUGAUGAAAACACAAAAUGAAAAUUAAAUAGAAUCAAAAUUAACUAGUAAAUUAUUAUUAUUUUUAAGAUAUUUUAAAGCAAAAACAAUAUAUAGCACAUAUAUAAAAUAUUUUAAAGCAUAGAUAUAUUACAUAUUGCUUUAUACAUAUUUUAAAACAAAUAUGUAUACAAUUUCAGACCAAAGGGUCUCCUGAUUAAUGAGAGAAACAGAGUUUAACUGAUAUAUAUAUAUUCCAGAGAAGUGUCUAUAUAUGUCGUAAGCAAAAACAGAAUGAAACAAUAAAAUAAUGCAAUUUAGAAAAAUGUAACAGAAGAAAAAUGCACACAUACGAAUUCUAACUUCCCUCCUUUUUUUCACUUUGUACUACCCUGACUUUCUUUCCUCCCUCCUUUACUUCUAACUACUUAUUUUAUUUUAAAAAAUAUUUGAGAUAACUGCAUUGAGUUAGAUUAACUAAUGAGAAGGCUUUAAUUUUUAUAUCUCAAUCAUUAAUAUAUUGGAUGGUUAUUCUUAAAUUCAACAGUGUACUCAUGCAUAACGCUCUCUCCUAUUGGAAAGCAAAUUCUUAUUAUAGUUAAUAUAAUCUCCUAUCUUUAUGAGAGUCCCUACAACAGAUAUAGUGUCAAUUUAAUAUGGCUAUAUCUUGUAACAUUCCUUAAUUUAGGCCAAUGGUGGUUUGCCAUAGCAUUCCACUUACCUUUUAAAUUUGAACAUUUAAAAUGAAUGAAAUUCUGGGACUUUCUGCUGAGAAUAAGAACAAAGAGGGCUAAAAUAUACCCUUCCACCCAAAGUGUUUGAACAUCUUGCAGUGUUCUGGUGAUUCUAUCACUUUACACUGAUUUUCUUCCAGCAAAAUUUUCAAUUCAAAAGUAAUAUGUGCAGAGAGGUAAGAAGUCAAAGAGACAGUAGCUGCUAAGAGGCAGAGAAGCUUUUCAAAGUCACACUGGACUGGGGGGACAAACUUGAAAAGUUAUCUACCACUGUAAGCAGACUUGCAGGACUAUAGUUUGGAGAUGAGAGUAGAAUAAUGAAGCCCAGGAUACAGAAUUUAUUGUUUCUUUAAUGGCGAUCAUUAAAAAGUCAGGAAACAACAGGUGUUGGAGAGGAUGUGGAGAAAUAGGAACACUUUUACACUGUUGGUGGGACUGUAAACUAGUUCAACCAUUGUGCAAGACAGUGUGGUGAUUCCUCAAGGAUCUAGAACUAGAAAUGCCAUUUGACCCAGCAAUCCCAUUACUGGGUAUAUAUCCAAAGGAUUAUAAAUCAUGCUGCUGUAAAGACACAUGCACAUGUAUGUUUAUUGCGGCACUAUUCACAAUAGCAAAGACUUGGAACCAACCCAAAUGUCCAACAAUGAUAGACUGGAUUAAGAAAAUGUGGCACAUAUACACCAUGGAAUACUACGCAGCCAUAAAACAGGAUGAGUUCAUGUCCUUUGUAGGGACAUGGAUGAAGCUGGAAACCAUCAUUCUGAGCAAACUAUCACAAGGACAGAAAACCAAACACCGCAUGUUCUCAUGCAUAGGUGGGAAUUGAACAAUGAGAACACUUGGACACAGGGUGGGGAACAUCACACACUGGGGCCUGUCAUUGGGUGGGGAGCUGGGGGAGGGAUAGCAUUAGGAGAUAUAUCUAAUGUGAAUGACGAGUUAACGGGUGCAGCACACAAACAUGGCACAUGUAUACAUAUGUAACAAACGUGCACGUUGUGCACAUGUACCUUAGAACUUAAAGUAUAUUUAAAAAAAAGACUUUUUUCCUUUUAUAGGCAGAUCAGGCUGGGAGGUAGAGAAGGCAAACAGAAAGCUGUUGAUAAAAUUCUAAAUAUCUAACAAAAAUUAUUGGUGAUGCUAUAGUUCUGGGAAGGAAAAAUUGGCAUUUAGAGCCUGAUAGUGAAUGGUCUUAUUAAACAGCCCAUAAAUUUAUUCUAAACUUCUAAAAUUCCAAAUUCUAAAAGUACCAGAUAAUCAGAAAUUAGAUGGUCUCCCAAAAAUCUAAAGCUGAUCUGCAAAUUACUUUAGUUCCUGACAAGAUUAAGGUUAUUUUCUCCUACUCUCAGUGACUACCAAGACCAGCAAAACAAUUGUUUCUUGAGGAAGAUCACAUCAAAAGAUUCCAUACCUUUCCUCAUGCAGUUUCUGUCAUCCAAUUAAAAGUAAUAAGGCAAAAAAACUUUCAUUUUAUACCAUGAUGCCAUAUACUGGGCCUAAGUUCAGCUUUUGAUGUACUUUGGAUAGUUGUCCCUGCCCAAAUCUCAUGUUGAAUUGUAAUCCCCAAUACUGGAAGUGUAUCCUGGUGGGAGGUGUUUGGAUCAUGAGGGUGGGUCUCUCAUGGAUUAGCACAGUCUUUGUGAUAGACAGUUCUUGGAAAAUCUGGUCAUUUAAAAGUGUGUGACACUUUCCCCCUACUCCCUCUCUUGUUCCUGUUUUCACCAUGUGAAGUACCUGCUCCCACUUCACCUUUUCCCAUGUGUAGAAGUUCCCUGAGGCCUCCCCAGAAGCUGAGCAAAUGCCACCACCACACUUCCUGUAUAGCUUACAGAACUGUGAGCCAAUUAAACGUAUUUUCUUUGUAAAUUACCCAGUCUAUAUAUUUUUGAUAGCAAUACAGGAACAGCCUAACAUACCCUUCCACUGAUAAACAAUUAGAAAACAGGAUUAAAUAUAUGGCAGAGCUGUUUUCAGAGAUUGGACAAAGACAUGGAUUUUGAUCCAACAGGAUGUAUAUGCCUUAGAGAAGAAAAAUAAAUUUAUGUGUACAGAAUUAAAAAAAUGUGAAUUAUCACAGACUACUCAUCAGAAAAAAAACAAUGUGCAUGUGAAGGAUACAAUGGAAAGUCACUUAAACUAAGAUGAAAGGGAAAAAAACACAAAAAACUUGUUCACUUAUAAUUCUAUAUCCAGGUUUACUGAAACCUUUUCUCCAGACAAAAUCUGACAAAAUCUGAUAGAAUUUGUUGUCAGCAGAUGAACAUAACAGGAAAUGUUAAAAGAAGUUCCUCCCUGAAGAUGAAGAAAAAUGAAGCCAGAUGGAAAAUUGAAUUUACACAAGGAAUGACAGUGUCUAGAAUGGUAAAUAUGUGCAUGAAUAUAAAACACUUUGAAAUUUUAAUUUUUAGUACCUUUGAAAUAUAAUUAAGUAAAAUGAAUUAUUUUGAGGUCUAUAACCCUGAUGUAAGUAAAAUGUAUAACAACAAAGCACAAAAAUCAGUUCGGAGGAAAUAAAAUUAAAUGUUGCAAGGUCCUUUGAUGAUACAUGAAGCAGAGUAAUAUUAUUUGAAGGUAGACUGGAAAAAGCAGAAGUAUGGCCACUAGCAGUGAAUAGCAUUAAAAUUUCAUCAGAUAAUUUAAGUGCAUAAAAAUAUUAUAUUUUUAUAUAAUAUUGUAUAUAAUAAAUAUUAAAGAUGAGUGACUAGGGACAUUGAAUACCCACCCUGUCCAAAAGGAAGAAUCAAAAUUAUGAAUAGAUAAUUGUACCUGGAACAGAACAUCUAGGAGCGAACACUAGAGUCCAACAGAAAAGCCACAAGAAAUACCUGGGGCAUAGAAGAAGAAAGUGAGUGGUCAGCUCAGUCGAGAUCGGGAUCAACUGGGAGCCCAGGGGUGCUCAGUGUUGUAAGGAAAAGGUAAGGGAGAGAACUUCAGCAGUCCACAUCUCCAGCAUGGACUGCUGCAAUCCUAACCAUGGGAGAAGUCCUGUACUCACAUAAACACUAGUGUAGGCAAUGAUUUGGAGAACCCAUGAGGGCACUGAACCAGACAGGGAACUCACACUGGGUCACUCACCCCAUUGAGACCUAAGUGGCUACAGCAAGGUACCAAUGUGAGAACACAGCCAUGACAAGACUGCUUCCUGCCCUGGGAACCAUAGUUCCCAUAUCUCCACAACUUGGGAGCCCGCACUGACAUCCCCUAGUGCCUACCCAAAGAGCUACAGUGUCAUCGUGCUGUCUGGACCGAAAGGUGUUGUGGAAUCCCCAGUAUUCUAGCCCACAGGGAGUACUACUCUCCAGAAAAAAAGGAUAGUUCAGAUCACCAAAAAGGGAGCACCACUUAGGACAAAGGAAACAAAAGCACGUGCUUUCUGGGCUGAGAGCUUUCUGUUUGGGGAUGUGAGAAGUGACCCUGCUCCAAGCAGUGGCACAAACUGUGCUCAGCCUUGCAAACAGAGUGAUAUCCCUUCCCACUGGCAGAGUGGCUUCUACGCUUGGACCGACACAUGGAAAAUGGAAUCCCUUCUCCUGCUCCUUGCACUUCUGUAGGCACAGCUGCUGUUGCUACCUCAGGAGGCUGGGGCAGUAGAGCUGAAUGGCUGCCUUUCUGGGGCUGUUAGUUGUGAGUGUACCCCCACAUGUGGUAUGGCCUCCAUGCAUGGACUGUCCCAUGAAAGAUGGGUGUCCUCACCCUGUGCAGUGCUGCUGCUACUGAGAGUGGCAAGCCUGGGAGCUGCAUGUCUGAGACUGGGUGUCAACCCCUUACCACGUCACCACCAACACCAGUGUACACCACUCAGGACCAAGAGAAUCAUCCUGCUGCUGCUAUCUAUCACCUAUAUACCAUGCUUCUAUCACCCAUAUACCAUGCAAACUGCUCAGGACCCAAGAAUCUGCUCACCUACCUAGAUGAAUGUUGCCACUCAGGCCAUCUGAGCAAGCUAUCUGGAGGCUCAAGAAUCAGUCCAUCUGAUUCCAUUAACAUUGAUGACAGUGUAUUCUACCCUGGAGCACAAAAACAGGCAUGUUUACCCACUGCUGCCACCAUGGGGGUCUGAAAACUGGCCUACCUGGCAUCCUUGUUUGCCGCAAAAUUUUACCAUAGCCUCCACUAAUAACUGCACCCUGAACAACCUGAGGAAAUAACAGAUACCACUCAGGCUGUCACAGCUGAAAAAUCAUUCAGGGAUUACACUGUCUCAUGCACCCAGAAUAAAAGCUAAAAGGUCUUACCCAACCAACACUAUUAAUAUAUUUUCAGGAAAAAGUACCCACCUACAAAAGAAAAUUUGAAAAAAAAAUUAAAAAGCAAGAAAAUGUGACACCUACAAAAGGACAUAAUAAUUCCAGCAACAGAUCACAAUAUAAAAGAAAUUCAUGAAAUUCCAAAAAAAGAAUUCAAAAUUAUGAUACAAAAGCUCAGUGAAAUAAAAAAGAAUUCUGAAAAACAAUAUGAGGAAAUCAGAAAAAGAAUCCAAGAUAUGAAUGAUAAAUUUACCAAAGAGAUAGAUAUCAUAACAAAGAACCAAGCAGAAAUUCUAGAAUAAAGAACUCCGUGAAUGAAAUACAAAAUAUAUUUGAAAGCUUCAAAGACAGGCUAGAUGAAGCAGAAGAAUAUCAGAACUUAAAGACAUGUCUCUUGAAAUAACCCAGUCUGAAAACAAUAAAGAGAAAAAGAAUUUUAAAAGUAUAAAAAGUAUAAGUCAGACAACAAUCAAAAAAAAUAAUUUUAAAAAUAUAAAUAGGGGGCCAAAUGGCUUACUAUAAACAGCUGCCAUUACAGGUUCCCACCAAGAAGAACCAAAAUAGCAUGUGAAUCCUGCACUGGCAACUGAGGUAUCCAUGUUCUAUCAUCAGGACUGACUAGUAGGUUGACAUGACCCAUGGAGAGCAAAGAAAAGAGGGGUGAUGCGAUGGCUCACCUGAGAGCCACACCUGGCAAGGGGAGCCGCAACCCCCAGCCAAGGGAGGCAGUGAGUGAUUGUGCUACCCAGCUUGGUAAACCAUGCUUUUUCAAUGGAUCUGUGCAACCCGUGGAUAGGGAGAUCAUACUCAUGAACCCAUCCCACCAGGGAUUCUGUCCCAACCACAGAGUCACACAGAUUCUCAAUAGCCACUUGGCUGGAGACUGCCUAAGACUACUGAGCUCCCAGGGGAAGGGGAGGCCAUCAUCACUGCUGCUGCCUGCUGCCUUAGAAAACUGAGCACCCCAGGCAAGGGACGGCAGCCAUCACUGCAGCUGCCUGCUGCCUAAGAUGACUGAACUGCUGGCGGUGGGGGUAGGGCAGCAGCCACCCCUGCAGCUUCAGUCCGCUGUUUUUCCCCUGCAAUGCCAGGGAGACUGAAUGGUUUGGACUUAAGAGGUAUUCCCCACAGGAUAGCACACUGGCUGUGGCAGAUUGUAGACAUACUGCGUCUUUAGGCCAAACUCUGCCCCGUGCCUCCUGGGCAGGCCAUCCCUCCAGGAACUUCAGCAACUCCAGCCAGAGGCUUAGGGACAGAACUCUGAUCUCUAUGGACCUGAGCCCUAGGGAGUGGGGUGGAUGUGGUCUCUGAGGACCAACAGACUUAGUCUUUCCCCCUGCUAGUUCUGAGGAAUCCAGGCAGCCCAGACCAGUGGGUUUCCCCCAAGUGCAGAACACCCCCUCCACAAAGGGACAGCCAGAGUGCUUUGUUAAGUGGGUCCCAGAUCCUGUGCCCCUGACGGGUGAGAUACCCCAACAGGAGUCACCAGACACUUUAUACAGGAGCAUUCCUGCUGACAUCAGGUUGGUGCUCCUCAAAGACCUCAGAGGAAGAAGCAGCCACCACCUUUGCUGUUCUUCAGCCUCUUCAAGUGACAUCUACAGGUGCGGGAGGGACCCAGGUGAAUAGGGCCUGAAGUGAACCAUCAGCAAAUCACAGCAGCCCUACAAAAGAGUAGCCUGACUGUUAAAAGGAAAACAAACACACAGAAAGCUACAACAACAGCAUUAACAAAAAUGUCCCCACAAAAACCCCAUCCGAAGAUCAGCAGCCUCAAAGACCAAGACAAUGGGGAAAAUGUCUCCAGCACAUAUCAAAGUUCUUCAUGGCAGCCACUCUCGUCACAGGCCUGGAAGACUAGGAGGAAAAAGUGGUUUUGUGGGUUGGGCCCAGGGUCCCCAUGCUAUGUGCAGCCUAGGGACUUGGUGCCCUGUGUCCCAGCCACUCCAGUCAUGGCUGAAAGGGGCCAAUCUAGAGCUCAGGCUGUGGCUUCAGAGAGUGCAAGCCUCAAGCCUUGGCAGUGUCCACUUGAUAUUGAGCUUGCCAGUAAACAGAAGUCAAGAAUUGGGGUUUGGGAACCUCCUUCUAUAUUUCAGAAGAUGUAUGGAAAUGCCUGGAUGUCCAGGCAGAAUUUGCUGGAGGGGUGGGGCUCUGGUGGAGAACUACUGCUAUUGCAGUGCAGAAGGGAAAUGUGGGGUCAGAGCCCCUACACAGAGUCCAUACUGGGGCACCUCCUGGUGGAGCUGUGAGAAGAGGGCCACCAUCCUCCAGACCCGAGAAUGGUAGAGCCACUGACAGCUUGCACUGUGCAUCUGGAAAAGAUGUGGACACUCAAUGCCAGUCUGUGAAAGCAGCCAGAAGGGAGGCUGUACCCUGCAAAGCCACAGGGACAGAGCUAUCCCAGACCAUGGGAAUCCACCUCUUGCAUCGGCAUCAUCUGGAUUUGAGACAUGGAAUCAAGUAGAUCACUUUGGAACUUUAAGAUUUGAGUGCCCUGCUGGAUUUUUUACUUGCAUGGGGCUGUAACUCUUUAGUUCUGGCCAACUUCUCCCAUUUGGAAUGGCUGUAUUUACCCAAUGCCUGUACCCCUAUUGUAUCUAGGAAGUAACUAACCUGCCUGUGAUUUUACAGGCUCAUAGAUGGAAGGGACUUGCCUUAUCUAGGAUGAGACUUUGGACUGUGGACUUUUGAGUUAAUGCUGAAAUGAGUUAAAACUUUGGGGGACUGUUGGGAAGACAUGAUUGGUUUUGAAAUGUGAGUACAUGAGAUUUGGAAGGGGACAGGGGAGGAAUGAUAUGGUUUGGCUGUGUCCCCACCCAGAUCUCAUCUUGAAUUCCCACAUGUUGUGGGAGGACCGGGUGGGAGGUAAUUGAAUCAUGGGGACAAGUCUUUCCCAUGCUAUACUCACGAUAGUGAAUAAGUCUCGUGAUCUGAUGGCUUUAAAAAUGGGAGUCUCCCUGCACAACUCUCUCAUCACUUGCUGUCAUCUACAUAAGAUAUGACUUGCCCCUCCUUGCCUUCUGCCAUGAUUGUGGGACCUCCUCAGCCAUGUAGAACUGUAAGUCCAAUAAACUUCUUUCUUUUGUAAG
rnacentral:lncRNA from 1 species